rnacentral:rRNA from 1 species
UGGGGAAUUUUGGCCAAUGGACGCAAGUCUGAUCCAGCCAUGCCGCGUGCGGGAAGAAGGCCUUCGGGUUGUAAACCACUUCUGUCAGGGAAGAAACGCUCUGGGCUAAUACCCUGGGGUAAUGACGGUACCUGAAGAAUAAGCACCGGCUAACUACGUGCCAGCAGCCGCGGUAAUACGUAGGGUGCAAGCGUUAAUCGGAAUUACUGGGCGUAAAGCGUGCGCAGGCGGUUAUGCAAGACAGAGGAGAAAUCCCCGGGCUCAACCUGGGAACUGCCUUUGUGACUGCAUAGCUAGAGGACGGUAGAGGGGGAUGGAAUUCCGCGUGUAGCAGUGAAAUGCGUAGAUAUGCGGAGGAACACCGAUGGCGAAGGCAAUCCCCUGGACCUGUACUGACGCUCAUGCACGAAAGCGUGGGGAGCAAACA